rnacentral:rRNA from 1 species
UACGGGGGGGGCAAGCGUUGUUCGGAAUUACUGGGCGUAAAGGGCUCGUAGGUGGCCAACUAAGUCAGACGUGAAAUCCCUCGGCUUAACCGGGGAACUGCGUCUGAUACUGGAUGGCUUGAGUUUGGGAGAGGGACGCGGAAUUCCAGGUGUAGCGGUGAAAUUCGUAGAUAUCGGGAGGAACACCAGUGGCGAAGGCGGCGACCUGGACAGAUAUUGACGCUGAGGUGCGAAAGCGUGGGGAGCAAACAGG